UGCGUAGGUGGUUGUUUAAGUCUGUUGUGAAAGCCCUGGGCUCAACCUGGGAACUGCAUUCAAAACUGACAAGCUAGAGUAUGGUAGAGGGUGGUGGAAUUUCCUGUGUAGCGGUGAAAUGCGUAGAUAUAGGAAGGAACACCAGUGGCGAAGGCGACCACCUGGACUGAUACUGACACUGAGGUGCGAAAGCGUGGGGAGCAAACAGGAUUAGAUACCCCUG
rnacentral:rRNA from 1 species